rnacentral:rRNA from 1 species
AUUGAACGCUGGCGGCAUGCCUUACACAUGCAAGUCGAACGGCAGCACGGGUGCUUGCACCUGGUGGCGAGUGGCGAACGGGUGAGUAAUAUAUCGGAACGUACCUUAUUGUGGGGGAUAACGCAGCGAAAGCUGUGCUAAUACCGCAUAAUCCCUUCGGGGGAAAGCGGGGGACCGCAAGGCCUCGCGCAAUUAGAGCGGCCGAUACCUGAUUAGCUAGUUGGUGAGGUAAAGGCUCACCAAGGCGACGAUCAGUAGCUGGUCUGAGAGGACGAUCAGCCACACUGGGACUGAGACACGGCCCAGACUCCUACGGGAGGCAGCAGUGGGGAAUUUUGGACAAUGGGGGCAACCCUGAUCCAGCAAUGCCGCGUGAGUGAAGAAGGCCUUCGGGUUGUAAAGCUCUUUUGUCAGGGAAGAAACAGCAGCUCUAACACAGUAUGCGAAUGACGGUACCUGAAGAAUAAGCACCGGUUAACUACGUGCCAGCCGCCGCCGUAA